rnacentral:lncRNA from 1 species
AUGACUGGUUUUAGUAGUGCAAGUGGCUACAGCUUUUCAGGUGGAUUAUAGCACUGGUGAGAAGAGACCUUUCUUGAUCUUAUUCUUGUGUUCUCACUCUUGUUCUCCUUUUCACUGUAAAAUUCCUGAGAGAAUUAGCCAAGGAUGCAGAAUAUGAUCAGAAAUCUGGGGCCAUAAGAAGCUGGAGCAGCAAAACACAUUCACAGUGCAGCCAGCCCUUGGCUCCCAGAAUUCCCAAAACAAGUGUGCUCCCUUCAGAAAUACAGUCCUUGGAGUAGGAGGCUAACAGAGCUAAGGUGAAGGAUCUAAAACCUGAAAAGAGGCCAAAUGAUUCCUCAAAACCACGCAAGUACGAAGUAGCAGAGCGGAUCUCAAAUCCAGCACUCCACGAAGAGGCCUUGGCUAGCUGCACAUCUCCCUACAUGGGUAUGUCAAGAUCACCAACUCUGCUUACAGCAGUUCCCAGAUGAAACUCUUCAUAAUUUCAGAUGCACCUUUAAUACCAGUGAAGGUUUACCUCCAGGCCCACAGUCUGGGUCUUUCCAGAGACACCCACAGCAAGAUGUCACCUGCUUUUUGAUGUCAUCAGAGUCAAACACAAACACCCACCACUGUGGUUUCCAUGUCUAAUUCGCAAAUGGCUUUAACUUUGAGCUGGCCCACAAUGUUGUAUUAACCCCACUCAGGUAUCAUCUUUCUCCGUGGGUGAACCCAUAGUGACCUUUCCUUCUGAUUCUUCUUUUACUCUAAGGGCAUGAUUUUGGCAAACUGUCUAUAUGUACACUGGAAACAACUUCAACUUGCUUUUAUGUUGAUUUCACUUCUCCACUUUCAAUGCAGAAAGCUAAUCAGCAAUGCCCUAGGUUACUAAGAGAGGACAAUUCUUUCUUAGCCCAUUGAAUUAUGAGCAUUUUCUUGGAAAUGCAGCAAAAUGUGUUCUGACAGAUGCCUUUGGGUCCCUUGGGUUCUUUGCUAAGACAGCUAUAGAGAGAGGGCUCAAUAAGGUGGGGCCUGUGAUGGGACAUUGUUUUUACUGCACUGGUGAUAGAACAAAAGUCAGACAGGGCACAACACACACUGAUACAACCAAUCACCCAGUCACACUGCAGCCUUAGGAAACCCAUGAGCUUGUGGCAGCAGGCAAACUUGCUUCAGAGUUCCAAGAAUCCAAAUGUUCCUGGUGUGUCUGUUGUCUUGCGAUAUAGACUGAGAUCACAGGAUUGAAGAUACGACCAGAGUCAUGCUGUUGAAAGAGACUGGCUGAGUAGUGAUGAAAAAUAAACUUGGUCAAUCUAUGCUUA